UAUGUGAUCGUCUCUCGCAUAUCAAUAAGCGGAGGAAAAGAAACUAACAAGGAUUCCCCUAGUAACGGCGAGUGAAGCGGGAAGAGCUCAAAUUUGAAAUCUUAAAGGGUUUCCCUUUACGAAUUGUAGUUUAAAGAAGUGUUUUCUGUUGAGGUUUUGGUAAAAGUUCUUUGGAAUAGGACAUCAUAGAGGGUGAGAAUCCCGUAUUUGACCUUUACUUUCAACUUUGUGAUACACUUUCAAAGAGUCGGAUUGUUUGGGAAUGCAGUCCAAAAUGGGUGGUAAUUUCAUCUAAAGCUAAAUAUUGGCGAGAGACCGAUAGCGAACAAGUACCGUGAGGGAAAGAUGAAAAGAACUUUGAAAAGAGAGUUAAACAGUACGUGAAAUUGUCAAAAGGGAAGCGUUUGACACCAGUGUUGUUUUUCUGAAAAUCAAUUAAAGAACUGUUUAUGCUAAGCUGUUUAGACUUUAUCAGCUAUCUGUUUAGUUUUGAGCUUUUCUUUAAUGCACUUUUCAGUUAACAAGUCAACAUCAAUUUCUUUUGCUGUAAAAAAGCUUGAGGAAGGUGGCUUGAGAUUCGUCUUAAGUGUUUAUAGCCUCUUGCCUAUGCAGUCGGAGAGAUUGAGGUCUGCAGCGUAGAUCCUUCGGGGCUAAAUGCAUUUGUGUUAAGUUAUAGCAUUUUAUAGACAACUUGUUGACUAUGAUUUGUCUUGUAGCUUACUCGCUUAUGUUAUUUUACCUACGCUUAGGAUGUUGAGUCGUAGAGCACGCAG
rnacentral:rRNA from 1 species